UAAAAGCUUGGUCCCGACUUUACUAUCAGCUUUAGCCUGAAUUACACAUGCAAGUCUCCGCACUCCCGUGAAAAUGCCCUUAGUCCUCCAACCGAGGAUAAGGAGCUGGUAUCAGGCACAAUUUUUGGCCCAAGACACCUUGCUAUGCCACACCCCCAAGGGAAUUCAGCAGUGAUAGACAUUAGGCAAUAACCGAAAGCUUGACCUAAUCAAGGCUAAGAGGGUCGGUAAAACUCGUGCCAGCCACCGCGGUUAUACGAGAGACCCCAGUUGAUAGACCACGGCGUAAAGCGUGGUUAAGGCAGAAUUUACUAAAGCUAAACACCCCUAAAACUGUCAUACGCAAUCAGGGGCACGAAACUCCACAACGAAAGUGGCUUUAACAUACCUGACCCCACGACAACUAAGAAACAAACUGGGAUUAGAUACCCCACUAUGCUUAGUCAUAAACCCAGAUGCUAACUAUACACCUAGCAUCCGCCAGGGAACUACGAGCGCUAGCUUGAAACCCAAAGGACUUGGCGGUACCUUAGAUCCACUUAGAGGAGCCUGUUCUAGAACCGAUAAUCCACGUUUAACCUCCCCACUUCUUGUUUACCCAGCCUAUAUACCGCCGUCGUCAGCUUACCCCGUGAGGGGCAGAUCAGUAAGCAAAAUUGGUACUACCCAAAACGUCAGGUCGAGGUGUAGCAUAUGAAGUGGAAAGAAAUGGGCUACAUUUUCUAAAAAAGAAUACUACGGAAGGCACCAUGAAACAAGUGCCCAAAGGCGGAUUUAAUAGUAAAAAGAAAUCAGAAAGUUCUUUUGAACACGGCCCUGAGGUGCGCACACACCGCCCGUCACUCUCCCCAAUAACAAGACAACGUAUAAAUAAAACACAAAUAAACAACAAGGGGAGACAAGUCGUAACAUGGUAAGUGUACCGGAAGGUGCACUUGGAAUAAC
rnacentral:ncRNA from 1 species